GAUGAACGCUGGCGGCGUGCCUAAUACAUGCGAGUCGAGCGAACGGACGAGAAGCUUGCUUCUCUGAUGUUAGCGGCGGACGGGUGAGUAACACGUGGAUAACCUACCUAUAAGACUGGGAUAACUUCGGGAAACCGUAGCUAAUACCGGAUAAUAUUUUGAACCGCAUGGUUCAAAAGUGAAAGACGGUCUUGCUGUCACUUAUAGAUGGAUCCGCGCUGCAUUAGCUAGUUGGUAAGGUAACGGCUUACCAAGGCAACGAUGCAUAGCCGACCUGAGAGGGUGAUCGGCCACACUGGAACUGAGACACGGUCCAGACUCCUAUGGGAGGCAGCAGUAGGGAAUCUUCCGCAAUGGGCGAAAGCCUGACGGAGCAACGCCGCGUGAGUGAUGAAGGUCUUCGGAUCGUAAAACUCUGUUAUUAGGGAAGAACAUAUGUGUAAGUAACUGUGCACAUCUUGACGGUACCUAAUCAGAAAGCCACGGCUAACUACGUG
rnacentral:rRNA from 1 species